AUACGAAGGUGGCUAGCGUUGUUCGGAAUCACUGGGCGUAAAGCGCGCGUAGGUGGAUCAAUUAGUUGAGGGUGAAAUCCCGGGGCUCAACCUCGGAACUGCCUUCAAUACUGUUGAUCUUGAGACCGAGAGAGGUGAGUGGAAUUCCUAGUGUAGAGGUGAAAUUCGUAGAUAUUAGGAAGAACACCAGUGGCGAAGGCGGCUCACUGGCUCGGUACUGACGCUGAGGUGCGAAAGCGUGGGGAGCAAACAGGAUUAGAUACCCUAGUAGUCC
rnacentral:rRNA from 1 species